UACGAAGGGGGCUAGCGUUGUUCGGAUUUACUGGGCGUAAAGCGCACGUAGGCGGCGUUCCAUGUCAGAGGUGAAAGCCUGGGGCUCAACUCCAGAAUUGCCUUUGAAACGGGGACGCUUGAGUCCGAGAGAGGGUGGCGGAAUUCCUAGUGUAGAGGUGAAAUUCGUAGAUAUUAGGAAGAACACCAGUGGCGAAGGCGGCCACCUGGCUCGGUACUGACGCUCAGGUUCGAAAGCGUGGGGAGCAAACAGG
rnacentral:rRNA from 1 species